AUAAUGACACGCCCUCCACCGGGCGUUAAAGUACCGCCCGUGUUCAAAAUCCUAAAGCAAUUCUGUGCAUUGGAUCUCCCAUCCGACGGUGGCAAAUGCCCACAGCAGUACAAUGAGGUACGAUCAGGCUUCUCCUCGCGUCGCUGCACAUCCCAGGGCACGCACUAUCGAGCCCUGUUUUCCGAUCUUGGAGAUCGCGUCUUCCUUUUCGCUCUCGCCUCCCACUUUAGGGUUUCGGCUGCGGGCGACUGCGCCCCCAUCCAUCGGCGAAGUCCACCCAUCGGACAUAGGCAAGAACCCGCGCCAGUCCCCGGUGAGGGUUUUCUCGAACCCUCCACCUCCUCCCGCCUCUCCCUUUCAGUCUCCAUCCCUAGGCCAUCGGUAGGCUGCUAAGUCGGGGCAGCUAAUGAGGUCAAGUUUGACUGGGUAGAUGUUGCUGAUCUCUAGGCCAUCGGUAGACUGCGCAGUUGGGGCAGCUAAUGAGGAUUAUAAGACAUCAAGUUCUUCCCUAUGUAUGGGUAGCAGGAACUCUUCUGUUUUUCUUCAGAGUUUGCAGAACUCGAUACUCAAUUAGCGACAUUUCAGGGUGAAACCUUGACGGAUGUUGUGCCAUGCCCUAGUGUUGGAGGUUCGGAUCAUGGGGAUGCUUAUCAUGUUAGUGCUGUCUCAGCACCUAAUCUACGGCGGCUGGCAAUUUUGUCAUGUUAAAACUUCAUUGAGGUAACUUUUGAAGCCUUACAAAGUUUUAUGCCUAUGGUCUGAUCACAGCAAGGACUAUAACCGCGAUGAUUAUGAGAAGGAUGAUUGUUGCUAUACACAUACAUUUGCGGGAGUUCUUCUGUAAUAUCUUUGCCUUGCUUAGAGCAUUAACUCCAGAGCUAACAAAGACACCAGCACGGUUAACCUGCACAAAAGACAUUGUAAUUGUAGUGUUAUAAUUUCAUAAUCACUUGUAGAGAAGACGUCGGACUCUUACCUGGUCCUCAAUGUUAUCAAGCAUUUCACCUUGUGCCUCAAUCAACACUGCCAUGUCCAGGAAUAUCUGAUGAUGAAAUUAGAAAUAAAAUAAUGAAUUCUGAUACACUCCAUCAGUUGCAAGGAUGAGCAAAGCAAAGGAAGUCGGAAGAUCAUGGCCUUCUUGAAAGAUGCAACAUAUGCCCCUUAGUUUAUGUGAAAGUUUAUCUUUUAGUCCGCACAAAGUUGCUAAAUUUCAUCCAGAAAUUUCUUUCAUGGAAGUUGUAUUAUGUGCAAAAGAGAAUGAAAAUCAUCUCUGUUGUAUGAACUGGACAGCCACAUUGACCAAGAAUGCCAAUUCUUUGGAUAUUAAGUAACAAGCUUUA